rnacentral:tRNA from 1 species
AAGACUUUAAGUUAAACUAAACUAAAAACCUUCAAAGUUUUCAAUAGGCUCCAUCUAAGUCUUG